AUGCUAGCCUGGAGGAAGCCGGUGCUGCUAGUGCUCACCAUCAACCUCACCAUCACCGAGGGCCCGUCCCACACCUGCAAGGGUGCCUCGGAAGCAAACCUAGUGGACCUGCAGAAGCUAGAGAACCUGGAACUGGAUGAGCAGCAGAAGAAGCGUCUGGAAGCUUUCCUUACCCAGAAGGUCAAGGUUGGCGAACUCAAGGAUGAUGACUUUGAAAGAAUCUCAGAACUGGGAGCUGGCAAUGGUGGGGGGGGUCAGUCACCAAGGUCCAACACAGACCAUCAGGUCUCAUCAUGGCCAGGAAGCUGAUCCACCUGGAGAUCAAGCCGGCUAUCUGGAACAGAUCAACGAAGAGCUGCAGGUGCUGCACGAGUGCAACUCCUGGUACAUUGUGGGAGUUUAUGGCGCCUUCUACAGCAAUGGGGAGAUCAGCAUCUGCAUGGAGCACAUGGAUGAUGGCUCCCUGGACCAGGUGCUGAAAGAAGCCAAGCGGAAUCCUGGGGAGAUCCUGGGGAAGAUCAGUAUCGCGGUGCUCCGGGGCCUGGCCUACCUGCGGGAGAAGCACCAGAUCAUGCACGGAGACGUGAGGCCUUCCAACAUUCUCCUCACCUCCCGAGGGGAGAUCAAGCUGUGUGACUUUGGGGUGACCAGGCAGCUCAUUGACUCCAUGGCCAACUCGUUUCUCGGCACCUGGUCCUACAUGUCCCCAGAGUGGCUGCAGGGCACCCAUUACUCGGUGCAGUCGGACAUCUGGAGCAUGGGCCUGUCCCUGGUGGAGCUGUCCAUCGGGAGGUACCCCAUGCCCCCGCCGGAUGCCAAGGAACUGGAGGCCAUCUUUGGCCGGCCCGUGAUGGACGGGGAAGAAGGAGAGCCCCACAGCAUCUAAUCUCGGCCCAGACCCUCCGGAUGCCCCGUCAGCGGUCACGGGAUGGACAAGCCGGCCCACCAUGGCCAUCUUCGAGCUGCUGGACUACAUCAUGAAUGAGCCGCCUCCGAAGCUGCCUAGCAGGGUAUCCAGCCCAGACUUCCAGGAGUUUGUAAAUAAAUGCGUCAUUACAAACCCAGCAGAGCGAUUGGAUCUGAAGAUGCUCAUGAACCACGCGUUCAUCAAGCAAGCCGAGGUUGAAGAAGUGGACUCAGCCGGCUGGCUGUGCCCAAGCCUGCGGCUGAAGCAGCCCAGCACGCCCACGCGCACGGCUGUGUGAUGGCUGCGUGCUGUGCGUG